rnacentral:rRNA from 1 species
AUACGGAGGGUGCAAGCGUUAAUCGGAAUUACUGGGCGUAAAGGGCGCGUAGGCGGUCUAUCAAGUCAGGUGUGAAAUCCCACGGCUCAACCGUGGAGGUGCAUCUGAAACUGAUAGACUUGAGUAUGAGAGAGGAAAGUGGAAUUCCCGGUGUAGAGGUGAAAUUCGUAGAUAUCGGGAGGAACACCAGUGGCGAAGGCGACUUUCUGGACCAAUACUGACGCUGAGGCGCGAAAGCGUGGGUAACAAACAGGAUUAGAAACCCUAGUAGUCC